AUGGAUCACCAGGGCUUGCGAGUCGGUGGCGCCGGCGACGUGCAAGAGUUCUGCUACGUCGGGAGCCAGCAGCCAGAGGUCGCCGGCGGGGCGUUCCUGAUGGAGCUGCUGGAGGACACGCCAGCGCCAGCCGACCACGCGCCGGAGGCCGCAGACGACCGGCUGAGCCGCGUUAUGCGAUCCCUCGAGGCCGAGCUCGGCAUCGGGUCCACGCCGGCGCCGGCUCUGGCGGAGGACGGCGAGAGCACGGCGGACGGGCCGAUGAGCGACUACGACGAUGGGGAGCUGGAGGAGAUGCUGUCGGAGUUGCGCGGUAGCCUGGGGGCCGAGGCGCGGUCGUUGGCCGCCGUGCUGCCGUUCGAGUACUGGGAGGAGGUGCCGCCGGUGAUGGGCAGCGUCAUGGGCGGCUGGUACGUCGACGGCGAGGGCUUCGUGGCAGGGUACGAGUUCAGGGAACCAUCCUACUACACCUAUGGUGAGGUAUCCGCCGUUGAGCAGGCGUACAGCCCCCUGUGCCUGUGGGAGUGA
rnacentral:rRNA from 1 species